ACGGGGGGCCUACGGGAGGCAGCAGUAGGGAAUCUUCCGCAAUGGACGAAAGUCUGACGGAGCAACGCCGCGUGAGUGAUGAAGGUUUUCGGAUCGUAAAACUCUGUUGUCAGGGAAGAACAAGUUUGAGAGUAACUGCUCAGACCUUGACGGUACCUGACCAGAAAGCCACGGCUAACUACGUGCCAGCAGCCGCGGUAAU
rnacentral:rRNA from 1 species